rnacentral:rRNA from 1 species
UACAGAGGCUGCAAGCGUUAUUCGGAUUCAUUGGGCGUAAAGGGUGCGCAGGCGGCCAAGUGUGUGAGGCGUGAAAGCCCGAAGCUUAACUUCGGAAUUGCACCUCAAACUACAUGGCUAGAGCAUUGGAGAGGGUAGCGGAAUUCACGGUGUAGCAGUGAAAUGCGUAGAUAUCGUGAGGAACACCAGAGGCGAAGGCGGCUACCUGGACAAUUGCUGACGCUCAGGCACGAAGGCGUGGGGAGCAAAAGGG